GCCAGACUCCUACGGGAGGCAGCAGUGGGGAAUAUUGCACAAUGGGGGAAACCCUGAUGCAGCAACGCCGCGUGAGUGGAGAAGUAUUUCGGUAUGUAAAGCUCUCUCAGCAGGGAAGAAGAAAGACGGUACCUGACUAAGAAGCCCCGGCUAACUACGUGCCAGCAGCCGCGGUAAUACGUAGGGGGCAAGCGUUAUCCGGAUUUACUGGGUGUAAAGGGGGCGCAGACGGCGAUGCAAGCCAGGAGUGAAAGCCCGGGGCCCAACCCCGGGACUGCUCUUGGAACUGCGUGGCUGGAGUGCAGGAGGGGCAGGCGGAAUUCCUGGUGUAGCGGUGAAAUGCGUAGAUAUCAGGAGGAACACCGGUGGCGAAGGCGGCCUGCUGGACUGCAACUGACGUUGAGGCCCGAAAGCGUGGGGAGCAAACAGGAUUAGAUACCCUAGUA
rnacentral:rRNA from 1 species